AUUGAACGCUGGCGGCAGGCCUAACACAUGCAAGUCGAGCGGAGAGAGGUAGCUUGCUACUGAUCUUAGCGGCGGACGGGUGAGUAAUGCUUAGGAAUCUGCCUAUUAGUGGGGGACAACAUUUCGAAAGGAAUGCUAAUACCGCAUACGUCCUACGGGAGAAAGCAGGGGAUCUUCGGACCUUGCGCUAAUAGAUGAGCCUAAGUCGGAUUAGCUAGUUGGUGGGGUAAAGGCCUACCAAGGCGAUGAUCUGUAGCGGGUCUGAGAGGAUGAUCCGCCACACUGGGACUGAGACACGGCCCAGACUCCUACGGGAGGCAGCAGUGGGGAAUAUUGGACAAUGGGCGGAAGCCUGAUCCAGCCAUGCCGCGUGUGUGAAGAAGGCCUUAUGGUUGUAAAGCACUUUAAGCGAGGAGGAGGCUACUUUAGUUAAUACCUAGAGAUAGUGGACGUUACUCGCAGAAUAAGCACCGGCUAACUCUGUGCCAGCCGCCGCUGUAAUAC
rnacentral:rRNA from 1 species